GUUGAUUCAUGCUCCACCAAUCCCUGAAGGACAAUUAGCAUAGCCUCAGCCUGCUGUCUAUAUGAGGCGAGUGCUUUUGCUGCUUGGGUUCCCCGUAUCAGCAAUGAAGGUGUCCUGCAAUAAAGGCUGUUGACAAGGAUCCGACGGUGUUGCGUCUUCCUUAAUGGAUAAGUUUGUUUAUAUGAUGGCCUGUGUUGAUGGAUUCUGGUAUGUGUAACCAUCCCUGUAUCCCUGGGACGAAGUCUACUUAAUCACAAUAUACGCUGGUUUUCAUUUU